rnacentral:rRNA from 1 species
AUGAUAGUAGUGGCGCAAGGGGUGACUGGUGCGCCAUUACUAGUUAAAACUAGUAAUGGCGCACUGCGCCCCGGUGCGCCAUUAGAAUUUUUGGAAAAAAGAAAAGAAAAAAAUUUGUUAGUAGUGGCGCACCAUGGUUGUGGUGCGCCAUUAGUAUUUUUGGAAAAAAGAAAAAAAUUGUUAGUAGUGGCGCACUAUCACACUAAUGGCGCACCAGCACACGAUGCGCCACUGCUAUAUAGUAGUGGUGCACCGCAUGUCUGGUGCGCCAUUAGUGUGCAUAUUGUCUAUAGCCCUUUUCCUAGUAGUGUGUUGAUGGAAGAGAUGUCUCAGUAG